rnacentral:lncRNA from 1 species
GCUGCAGCCAAGCCACCAGCCUAGCUGUAGAGUGCUGUACUCCACAUACUCCUGGAGAUCCAGCCCCGCAGAUCGCGCAUCCCUGCCGCCGUUCGCCUUUAGGCAUCCUAAACUUGAGCGGCAGCUCGGUUUCAACCGAUCGACUGCUUGCUUCAAAUCAGACAGCAUUGCGACCCAGACACCGGAGUCCGCCGAGUGAAAGCACAACGCAGAGUAGGACAAGACCAAGAAAACAGCCACGCGAAGCAGCAACUCUAGGUUGGGAGUGCAGAAGCCAACAAACCUUCUUCGGUUGCGCUGGGCUUCCUUUUAUCCGGGUAGGAGCCACAUCCCUGGGGAAUAUGCAGCGCGCGUGGAUCCUGCUCACCUUGGGCUUGAUGGCCUGUGUGUCCUCAGAGACGCAUUAUUUCAGUGCCCAUUCUGCACAGAAUUUUAGCUAUUUGUUGAGGGAACACCAGUUGCUACUAGCAAAGAAGGAGAAUGUUCACAGAAGAGGAAUGAGUGGAAAGAAGGUUUGAUACCACUGGGUAAAAUGAUUGUGAGAAAAGAAAUUUCAUAUAUGGGGAACAACACACACAACCUGGAAGCAUGACAGAAACUUGCCUUAUUUGGAAAAUUUAUAGGGAAUUUGCACUGUGGUACCAAGGAAUGGUGAAAGAUGCAGGAAAUGAAAAGCAAGAAGUGGGCAAUUUAUAAGUCUUAAAGUUCUAAGGAGACCAUGCUGUUGUCUGCCACACCCACUCCAGUGAAUUCUGUGUGUGAAGCUUGGCCACAGUCCUGAGGCAAAAAGUUUCACAGAAACUUGUCUGCUGGAGAGUCUCUGGUGCCCCAUAACCAGAUUUGUCCCUAAGAUAGGGUGGAGGGUCUUUCAUGCUUUCUUAGAGUAUUUUACUAGAUAAGAGCUAAAAAAUCUCAGGGCAAGUUCUACAAAGAAAACUUAGAAUUACAGCCGAGGCACUCCCAUAUGCAGGAAUUUACAAUGGCCUAAGAAGAAGGAGGGUUGUGGCUUAAGGAGGAACUACAGUAUUACAUUAUUCAUGAGCAAGAGCAGAACCCCCUGGUGCAAGCUUUCAAAAGGCUCAGAGGAAUAGCAUAAAUUGUGACUAGAGUGUGAAAUCCUCACCUGGCUCCCUAAUGGCUAACUUUAGAAAGGGCUGCCUUUUAUCUCAGUUGUAACCACUGCCUGGUUCCUGCUAGUAUUUAUGUAUGCAUUUCUCUGUUUUUUGCAAGAUAAUAUCAAUGUACCUUGGCUGAUGUGUCACCUAACUUCUUUGUUUUCUUCUGUAAUAUAAGUCUGAUGCUCACUUUGAGAAAUUACAUUCAGAUAGUGUACU